CUGUAACCCAGAAUGUUUGCACGUCCCACCCGCGCUUUGCCCAGCUCCUCACUGUCCUUGGACUUCCCUGGAGAACGUAGAACUGAUGUGCACUGUUGGCUCCUGUUGUGCUGCACAGGCCUCCGUACAAACGGAACUCAAGAGCAUACACCACUCAUCUCUGCUAGUGGAUCACCUCUGAACGCUGUCUGCGCUGGGCUGAGGAUGCUCAUUACUGAAGUUCAAGGUUCUUACUGAUGUCACUGGAAAAUUUGUCUCUGCUCUGAGAAAUCACAGGGACAGGUCCCCGGAAGGCAAUCAUGUGAAUUCAGUCAUCAGUUACAUUUCGCCAAGAAUUAAGUCACCCAUCAGCUGACUCAAGGCUUCAACACAUGUCUAAGCUCAGAGAUGCUACUGGUCUCUUCCACGACUUGUUCAAGAUGGAUCUAACACUGAUGAACCCCAUGCCAACAAUUUGCUUCCCAACGUAAAGCUAACUUGGAGUGUGGGAGACGCACACUGAAAUCAUUCUCCUCGGUUAGUCUUUGUGACUCGUGAGGUGACUACACUAACACCUGGUGUUGAUAAGAUGGCAUGAAAACAGCCAGCUCUGGAAGUCGUGCGGAGUGAUGGCUCAGAAGUGAAUAGUGCUUGCUGCUCUUUCCAAGGACCCGAGAUGGGUUACCAGCACCCAUGUUCUCCAGAUCACAGUCUUCGCUAACUCCAGCUCCAGGGCUUCUAACCCCCUCUUCUGGCCUCCAUGGUACCUUUACUCAUGUGCCUGACAUCCUCCCACACAUACUUAAUGAAAAAUUAGAAUUAAAUCUUUAAUAAUAAUAAUAAAGAGUCCCGGAAGAGUUUCACA
rnacentral:lncRNA from 1 species